rnacentral:rRNA from 1 species
ACUUAAAUUGAAGAGUUUGAUCAUGGCUCAGAUUGAACGCUGGCGGCAGGCCUAACACAUGCAAGUCGAGCGGUAG